rnacentral:lncRNA from 1 species
CGAAAUUCUCAUUGGUCAGAUGCUAUAAUUUAUAUGUUUCCGCUGAGCUCUAUAUAUGUCAACUGCUAAAGCACUAUGCAUAAAAAACACAUUAACUGAUCAAAUUGGUCUUGGCCAUCUUAUCUCAAAGCACGAAAUGUUCUGUUUUGAGAAAACAGUAUUUAAAACAUUUAAACUUUUGCUUGAAUAUCUUAUAUUUCGAAAAACAGUAUAAACUGUACGAUCUAAAUUUAGUUUGCAC